AGAAUUAGGGAUGAUUUGGAACUCCAAAAGCAGAAAAAAAAAAUGAGGCCAGAGGUGAAAUUGAGGAAAAAAAAAAGAGCUCUCAAAAGAACAAGAAAAUCUGAUCUGGAAAGAGAAGAAAAAGAGCUAUGAAAAGGAGAAAAAUAGAAAAUUGAAUUGAAAAGAAAAAAAAAUAAACAAAAAGAAAGAAAAGAAAGAAAGAAAGAAAGAAAGAAAAAAAGUAUAGAUUCUGGCCAAGUUAUGGGAAAUACCUGCAGUGAGUUUUAGGUUCUACCUUCUUUCUUGCAUAUUCUUUAACCCAUUCCAGCUUCUAUUUCACAAUUCUCUAACCCG
rnacentral:lncRNA from 1 species